CCUACGGGAGGCAGCAGUGAGGAAUAUUGGUCAAUGGGCGGGAGCCUGAACCAGCCAAGUAGCGUGAAGGAUGACAGCCCUAUGGGUUUUAAACUUCUUUUAUAUGGGAAUAAAGUGUUCCACGUGUGGGGUUUUGUAUGUACCUUAUGAAUAAGCAUCGGCUAAUUCCGUGCCAGCAGCCGCGGUAAUACGGAGGAUGCGAGCGUUAUCCGGAUUUAUUGGGUUUAAAGGGGGCGUAGGCGGAUUCUUAAGUCAGGGGGGAAAUUCUGCGGCUCAACCGUAACGUUGCAGUUGAAACUGGGAGUCUUGAGUAUAGUCAGGGUGCAUGGAAUUCGUGGUGUAGCGGUGAAAUGCUUAGAUAUCACGAAGAACUCCGAUCGCGAAGGCA
rnacentral:rRNA from 1 species